rnacentral:ncRNA from 1 species
GAAAGGUCGCGCGCGGGCGCGGCUGGGUGACUAUGCGCACCCCAGUUAGG